CCGCCUGCCUCGGCCUCCCCAAAUGCGGAGAUUACAGGCAUGAGUCACCGCGCCCGGCCUGGAUGGAGGAUUUCUAUGUCCAGGAUGAUUUGAGCCUUUCUGCUGUUUCAGUUCUACUCUCAUUUUUCCUUUUUUCUUUUUUUUUAAAAUGUUUUAGAGACACGAUCUCACUUUGUCACCCAGGCUUCAGUGCAGUAACAUGAUCACGGCUCACUGCAGCCUCAAACUCUUGCCUCAGCCUCCGAAGGAGCUGGGUGUACAGGUCACCACACAGGGCUAAUGGUUUUUUUAUUAUUUUUUUUUGGUAGAGAUGGAGUCUUGCUUUGUUGCCCAGGCUGGUCUUGAACUCCUGACCUCAAAUGAUCCACCCGGCCUCUCAAAGUGCUGGAAUUACAGGUGUGAGCCACCACACUCGGCCCUUUCAUUUCUUGUUACCGUCAGAAAAGAGAUAGGCCACAUUUGCCUGUGGCUGCAGCAGCCUACCCACCCACCUGCCUCUCAUCACUGCUCUAAUCAAUUAUGGCUUCCGUGUCUUUAUGAUGCCUCUAUUCCAAAUAUCACACCUUUCACAAUACCGCCGAAAUAAAAACACUCCUCAAGGUGUGAUCAUAUGUAAUGUGCAAAAUGGGUCCUCAGUUCUAUAAAAUCAAGUUUUUAUAGCAUGGGUUAGGUUACAAAUUUUGUUAUUUGACUUACUUUAUUAGCUAAUUCUGUUCUUGUCAUUAAACGCCCUGUUUUGUUUUGCCAACAGUACUCUCAUGUGGUUACAAUGGGGUAGCCCCAAACACGUGACUAAUAAGAAGAAACAGUAACGGUGUAUGUGUCCAGGAUUCUAACUGAAAAAUUGAUUGGGGGCUCAGGUGGCACAGGAUGGCUGGAGUGGGCUGGAGUUGGAUAUUUCCCUCACCCAAGGUAGGUAGACUCCAAGAAAACCAUGGCAAGCGAGUCUCUGGUUAACUAGUUUCUUCUGAAGGCAGGCCUUGGUAAGAAGAGAAUGCUCUGGUGUAUUUCAAAAUAGAUCCUUUUCUCCUCCCCUCGCUGGAAGCAGGAUCCUGUUUGAUCUCUAGGAGGCAAAACUCACGAAAGUGUGCCCCUUCCCCCUCCGUGCCUGGUCACUGGGUCUAGCCAGAGUUUUUACCUCCAGACUUGUCCACCAUGAACCCCCAGCACUUCGUCAAUUACAGUUCAGGUGUUUCUACCCUGGCACUGGAUCCAUGGAGGUUGCUCCUCCAUGGAUUUCUGCUCUGAUAAAUCGUCAUUCACUUGUCUGUCUAAUUUAGAGGCAGUGGUUUGGCCUGUGAUCUCACUUCCCUGACAGAUCUAAGAAGAGCUGUUCAUCGCUUUUUCAGUUCGCUCAGCUUUUGACUUGUAAGGGUGUUGAGAAGACUUCUUCACUCCUUAUGUGCUGGAUCAGAAACCAGAAGUUCACGAGUAUCCUUUGAGUAAAGUGUUUCAAAUAGUUUCAAAGCCACCUUCUAUACUUACAUUCAAGUCAUAUUUCUGCCAUGUGCCUCAAAGAUAUUGUUGCUGUUAAUUCAGCAUAGAUUUAUUUUUAUGCUAAUACCUAUUUUGUUGGAGAUUGUGCACUGAAAGAUAGAUAUUGGUAUCUAUUUGACAACAGAUAUAUAAAUGUUCGCCACCCAAUAUCCGUUCUCUUUCUUCUGAUAACACACACUGACCUGUUUUCCUCUAGAGAACCAACUCCUGCCCCAGUCUCAACACACCUGAUUCUCAGUUGGAGCUGCUGGCUGCAGCAGUGGACCCUGCCUGGUCAGCUUUGUCAUCCUUUGGUCAUGUUGGAUGUUCAAGGAUGCUCCUGUGAUCAAUCCCAUUGAGCCUGCAAGGGCUGGGUUCAUCUUGAACCGUAUGAAAAUAAAAUAUGUCUUAUUCUUUUUCCUACUAGACUUGAAUCUUGUAAAAAUUAAGGCUUCACCUGCUAGGGUCACCACAAGUUGUAGGUAGGUUCUACCUGAAAUGGAGACAGCACAGAAGAAAACUGAAGCAAGAGAAGAAGACAAAUCAGCUCCUGAUAAUGUGAUGUGAAGUACGAGGUCCUUGCAGGCUCAAAUAAGUUUCUAACUGGUUCUCUUUGUAAUCACCAGAGCAAAUUCACAUCUUCCCCCACACCCCACCCCCCAAGCUUAUUUGAAUUGAAGUCUUCUGUCACUUGGAAUUUCAGAAGCCCUGACAAAUAAAAUGGUUCAUUAAUUGAAUCAGCUAUAUCACAAUUCAAAUGGUGGCCUGACAACAUAUCUGCAGAUAUCAAAAUCCUACCAUAAUAAUUAGACUAUAAAUGGUUUUUAGUCCUAUUUUCAGUAUUCUCAAAAGUACUCUCUUAGAAAUUAAGCCACCGCUUAUUCUGCACAAGAAUUCCUUUCAUGCCAUCCCAGCAAAUCUGCCUGUAUGCGCUCAGAUGCAGAACUGGUUCUGAAUUGUGCAAAGAGCCAACGUUGCCAGCUCUGCUCCAUUUUUUUCUGGCAGCCCCAGCAUCCAAUCAAGAUUUCUGGAUCUUUUCCAAUUAUAACACCAUUUGCAAAUACUCAGCAUUUUCCAGCCUUGAAUAAUGUAUUGAUCUCUUUAAAGUAGAAAAUAUUCUCACAGACCCCCAAUGUUGACUUAAAUUCUUUUUAUUGUAAUUUUACUUAAAUAUAAAUGCAAACAUAAAACACUACAAACUGUUAGGCUUGUAGCUUUUAGACAACUAUAAAAAUAAACUUACAGAUCAGAUAUAAUAUAAACUACAAAGCCAAUGAAAUGGAACUGAGCUACAUUAGCUUACCAGGGCAGAGCAGAGUAUUCCCGAAGCCCCAUGGCUGCUCAGCUUGGGAGGCCAAUGUUUCUAAUUACUCUGAGUCCUGAGCUCAGCAUUAUCAGAGGAUUCCUGCCUGGCAAGGCCUGGAUUCUCCAAAAUUUUUCUGUAUUUAGAUUAUUUCAAUGCUUCAUUAGAAUGGCUUCCCAUAAAGUCACUGGCCUCUACUUAACAUAACUAUAGCUGUUAUUUAUGAAGACUCUCUGCUGUUUCUUAUUGAAUCUGUGACUAGUAAAAUUGUACCAAAUCCAGUAUCAGCAUUAUAAUAAACAUUUGAGCUGUGAGAAAUAAAAUCACAUGAUGGCCCUCAGCAAGGUGAUCAUCUAAAGAUCUAGAAGAUGCUUAUGUAAUUUUUAAUCAACUUUACUGAGGAAUAGUUUACACACAAUAAAAUGUACAGACUUUAUAUGCUUGGAUGAAUUUUGACAAAUAUAUACAUUUGUAAACAAGACAUCAAUCAAAAUAUACAUUGUUACCCCUCAGUAACUUUCCUGUUGUCUAUUUCAGUCAAUAUCCUAUCUGACUGCUAUGAAAGUUGUCAGAAUCAAAAGGGAGUCACUAAUGUUAAGAAACUGCUGACAAAUAGAGCUGAGAAAGGCUCUGAGACUUCUCAUGCUUGUAUGCCUGAUAACAAAAAAGGCUACAAAACCCAAAAGUUUGCACAAAGGCUGUCACAACCCUACAAAAAAUCUUCCAGGACAUCUGCCCAGCAACUUCCCCGUCCAUCCUCUGGCUGGUGUCACCCUUGCUAUUGAUCUUUAUAGUCAAAGAUAAUUAUUUAAAAGCAAUUAUGAAAUUCUUCUCAUUUUCCCUUUAAAAUUCUUAGUUUUCCCUUACCUCCCUGAAUACACACAUAGUUUAGUAUGACAUGUGUAUUCCCACUGCACUGCCCUAUUCCCAGAUAAAUGUAUUUUCUUUUGGAGAGGCUGACUCUGUUUGUUUUUUGGGUUGAUAUUGCCAAACCAACCCUUCACACCCCCCAAUGUCAGAAAAUCACUUCCAUUUUGCUUAAGGACUUCCUAUACAUGGAAUCAUAUAGCACCAUAUAGUCUCGUGUGUCUGUCUUCUUUCACUCAAUACUAUGUUUUUGAGAUCUAUUCAUGUGAUUAUGUACAUUAGGAAGCUGUUCAUUUUUCUUGCUAAGUAGUGUCACAUUGUAUGGCUCUUCAAAAGUUUGUUUCUCCGUUCACCUGUUAAUGACAUUUGGGUUGUUUUGGGUUUUGGUUCAAGGUAAUUUUGUGAUGUAUCCAGAGUUAGAAGUCAAGGUCUCUUUCUUCCAUACAGAUACCUAACCUUUCCAUUAUCAUUUGUUGAGGACCUCUGAGGUCCUCAACCUCAGAGCAAACAAAAAUAUCCUAGAAAAGAUAACUUUCUUUUUCAGUAUUUGUCAAAAUUCCAUCAACUAUCAAGUGUAUUUGUCCAAUAUCUGUUCUGUUCCAUGGCUUUAAAGAUAGGUUUGCAUGCCAAUGCCAUUAGUGCCUUAAUUAAAUAUCUUUAUAUGAGAUAUAAACAUCUUUAUAUAAGCCUUGAAAUCAGGUAGUGUAGGUCCUUUUGAUUAAAAAAAAUGUAUUAGCUUUGAAUUUAUUGAGUAUAUUGCUUUGAAUUUCCUUAUGAGUAGUUGAAGCAACCUGUCAGCCUCUACUUGUUGGGUGGUAUUGAGUCCACAGGUCCACUGGGAGAGACCUGACAUCUUAAUAACAUUAAAUCUCUAAUCUAUGAACAUAGUACAUCUCUCUACAUGUUAAAUUGAUUUUCUCUGUGAAUUUUUUAAUACAAAGUUCUAACACACAAUUUAAAAAAUUUAUUACAAAGUAUUUUCUGUUUUUAGAUGUUAUUAUACGUACUUUAAAAUUUAUUUUCCAAUUGCUUCUUGCUAGUGUAUAGUAAUGAAAUUGGUUUUAGCAUAUUGACCUUAUGUCCUAUCACCUGGGUUAAUUCAUUUAUUCAUUCUAGUAAUUGCUUUGCAUAUUCCUUAGGAGUUUUUAAAGAAAAAACUUGUAUGGGCAUCAAAUAAAGACAAGUUUAAUUCUUUCUUUCAAUCUUUAUUACUUUUUUAUUUUUAAAUACUUCAUUUCAUUCGUUAGGGACUUCUAACACAAUGUGGAAUAAAAGGAUUCAGAGCCUUGCUCACAUUCACACAUGGAAAACAUUCAAAAUGGAUGAUUAAAUAUAAUAAUGGCCAUA